rnacentral:lncRNA from 1 species
GUUGGAGGAGGCAUAGGGGAUAGGGCAUGUGACUUGAGAGGUAGCAGGAAUAAAGGAGACAAUGGGUCAUUUUAGCAAUAGUUAGAGCUUUGAUAGAGUGCAGUGUGCAUUGGAGCAUUUUGAGCAGAGGAUUGACUUAGGCUGCUCUGAGAAGCAUAGACUACAGUGGAGCAAAAAGGAAAUGCAGAAAACCCAUUAAGAAGACUGUCACAAUAAUCCAGUUCCCUUGACCUCAGAUAAUCAGAUAAGCAGCAACACAAGAGGACCGAAAUCAGGAAACUGAGCUCAUGAAGGGAUUGCUGCUGCUGCUGCUGGUAAUGAUGAUGGUGGAACCCUUGGGAAUAUGUCUGCUUGUAAAGAGGGGUGGGGACAAUGGUGCAGAGACAAUAAUGACCAAAUAUCAUAUGUGCUCUUGUUCAUUUCCCAGACCACUAAAUAUUGAAGUGGAACAAUGUUGCCAGCUCUGGUCAAUGGACUAUGAUGCAUGUAAUUUUCUGUGCAAGGAGGUGAACCAUCAGAUACCUCAUACAUUCCCCACUGGCCACCAUGGUGCCACUGGAGGCUGAGAGUAAAAGAUGGUAGAGUUAGAAGAUAGCAGAGGGCCACAUGUCUUGCAUCAGAUUUGAUGCAAAUGAGAAAAACUAAAGUUUAUUCUGGUAUGCUCCCAAAUAUGGAGGGUUCUUUCUUUGAUAUUAGUCAAGUCAUUCUGCUAAUACAGGGUAAAGAAUAAUUCUAUAUGUUGACGUAUGGCUUCUCUGCCAAAGUAGAGACAUAACUGCUUAACUGCCCAAAUAUAACCAGGCAUUCAGAGUCUCUUCUUGCCUCACUCCCUGCCAAAUUAUCUGCAUUAUCAGGGAAUAAAAGGGAGUCUUGGUCACCUAUCUCCUCUUCAUGCACCAAAUUCUCAUUUACGUCAGUAACAGUACCUCAGUCCUGACAGUAAUGGGGACACCUGUUAAGGCCUUCAGAAGCAAUUAGCCUCAAAUAAAUGUGGCAGGCAUUUGCCCAUCACAGUGGAUUUACUGAAGGCUAAGUGUUCUGUAAUUCAGUCUUAAACCUUGAGGUGUUAUUUUUCAGCCCUAAAAGGUGUAAUAUAUUUGUGCUCAUCCCCACCCUCUAUCACAGCCAACACACAACCUGCCAAACUUCCAUUCCUGGGAAAAAAGACAAUGCUGGUCCCUCCGGCCAAUGUCAAACCACAUUUCUUCAGUAUACUUUUAAAAAUAUAAACUGAUGAGACAGAACUUGAGUAAUAAAAACAAUGAGUAACAAUUUGAUACCCCCUGAGGAAUCCAGCUAGUUAAAAGAGUAUCCUAAACAGGUUUAAAAAUGGAGAGGGAAUCAGUUCUGUGUUUCAAAAACAAAGCCUUCAAAAAUAAUUAAUAAUGGCUUAACUUUAUACCCAUUAAACUUUAUUAUUUUUAAAGGUUUUCCCUUUUGAAACAUAGAUUGACUUCUUCUCCAUUUUUAAUCUUGUUUAGGAUGCUUUUAUCUAUCUCACGAGACUCCUCUGGAUAAGUUAAGUUCUGGGCAUUCUAUCACACAGAAAGGCGACAGUGAUUGUACUUAGUAAUAAUGUAUUGUAUCCAUCAGAAUAUCUACAAGAGAGGAUUUUAAAUAUUUACAACACAAGGAAAUGAUGAACAGUUGAGUUGCACUGCUUGCCACAACUGAAGACUAAGUGUAAGAUUUAUCCUGGUUAAAGCGUUAGUAACUAACAGGUGUGUAAUGUCAUGCUCACCCAUAACCCCUCCCCCACUGUUCAGCAAUAGCAUAUGGAAAGGUUGACAAGUCAAUACAGGGUUGUUGUUUCAGACACUUCCUAUGCUGUCUCCUAGCAUCUUGCACUUGCCUCUAAUUCCAGCCAUAUCUACACCAAAUCAUUCUAUGCCAACUUUGACUCACUUUCUGCUCACGGGAUCAUGCCUUAGCAUGAGCCACACGCUUCUCGCUUUCAGUCAAGGACAUUACCACUGUGUAUGAACAGUGUAUGAACACCAGUGAGAGUCUUAUUUGAAUCUGUGCAAGCCAGAGUGGAUUCAAAUUCAAUUGCUUUUUUUACUUUUUCUUAAUGGCAAAUCUCUUAACCUUUUUCAGCCCCAUUUUUUCUGUCUAAUAAAAUAAGGGUGAGAAUAUUUAACUCAAAUAAAUACUAUGGCAGCUGUAGAUAAAAUAUGCAAAAUGAUACAUAGAAGCUGUUCUUUAAGUGUUAAUGUCUCUGCUUUCCUAGCUAUCAUCCUAUUUCAUCCACAUGGAUGAGAGCCUUAGGAAAAUCCCAGUGGAGACUAUGAAUCAUGCCCAUUUUGGAAUAAACGUAAAACUCACCAAUAGAAGAAAAAAGAGCUCCCCUUUCUCUUUCUCCUAGCAAAGAUUAUAAUUGAUUGUCAAUAUAUGUUCUAGAGUUCACACGAAUUUGCAGGGCUUUCCAAUAGUAAGAGAAUCUUAUUAACAAAUUAUAUUCUUUUCAUGAUUUAUAAUAAACAUUUUAUGUUUUCCACUUUUGUAAAUUUUUGAUAGUUGCAAACAUAGUGGAUAUACUCUGAGGAAUGUUUUACAGUUAGUAAAAAUCAACAUUGAUGAACCCCUCU